CUUCAAUCUCUAAGUAUUCUGCUCGAAUCAAGCUCUCUAGUCCGUGUAGCUCACUGCUCUUGAUGCUCCAAAGAAACCCAUACUUCUCCCUAAUUUAAGCUAACUAUAUUUACAAACAAUUAUCAAAGAGAAAGCAAGAGAAAUUCCAAAGAAAAACUAAUCUAAGCUAAAAGCUAUUUUAGUCUAAGGUUUCAUGAUUUUUUGUAUGCAGAGCCUCUCUUUUCUUUUAUAUCCCCAGCUCUCCCUCUUUUACUAGGUCAAGAAUCAUUUGUCUCUACCUGGGCACCGGAGCUCGUGCUGCGGCGCGGGCAAUAGACUUGAGGUUGGUGUUGCGGCGCCAUGUAAGCUAAGAAAAAUCGGAGCUCACGCUGCAGCGCGAGCCCAAGAAGGAACAGUGGCGAUGCGGCGCGGUGAUGAUGUGAGCAAGGACCAGGGGGUGGCACUGCGGCACGGCAAAUAAGCUUGGCAUUGGCGCCGCGGCGCGAGUGUAUAGAUUUUACCAUUUUUCCCCUUUAAAGCUGGAAAAUCACUAUCAAGCUCUGCAAUGCAUCAAUUAAGCAUGAUAACACUAUAAUCAUAUAAAACCGUAUACAAUCUAUGAGAACAAGCAACUAUUUAAAUCAUAAAGUAUCCCAUUCGCGGGUAUAAAUUCCACUCAUUAGUCAACUUUCCUGGCAGGGAUUGGAGAUCCAUUCGCUAUAUUGCCGUGUACAAGGCUUAGCUCAACCUACAGCUUCAUUACUCAUGCUCCAGGCAUGGAUUAUCUUCCUCUAGCUGGUUUGAGAGGGAUGAUCACCUACCACCCACUGGCCGUGAUGUGUUAGUUUGACCAGUUUCAGGAUCUCCACCCAUAUGAGGGGGUAGUGAUUCAGCGCUUCACUUCUUUCCAUUUAUCGUCAGCGGACAGAUCCAGGUUGUAUGCCUGUUGGGAUCAGCGAGAGCUAGCUGAGUUUUCUGUCAGUCAUCCGGGUUAUUCUACAGAGUAUUCAGCAUCGAUAGAGACAGAGACUGCAUCGACUAUGGUAGUAUCCACAGUGCAGGAGAUUGAUUUCAAUGAUGAGGAGCCUAUGGAGGAGGCUGACAUUCACAUCGAU
rnacentral:lncRNA from 1 species